UGGAGAGUAAACUAAGUUAAGUUUUCGGGCUCAUGACCCGAGCAUAGGAUUUAUCCUCCUCCUU
rnacentral:tRNA from 1 species